rnacentral:RNase_P_RNA from 1 species
CGAGCCAACCGAGGCAAUCGCUAUUACAUCUUUCUGGGUGUGGUAGAGGAAAGUCCGGGCUCCAAAGGGUAAGGUGCCAGGUAACUCCUGGGGAGCGUAAGCUCACGGCAAGUGCAACAGAAAAUAUACCGCCCACAGCUGUGGGUAAGGGUGAAAUGGUGCGGUAAGAGCGCACCGCGCGUGCGGUAACGGGCGUGGCAGUGUAAACCCCACCUGGAGCAAGACCAAAUAGGAAUCCUUUGGCGUGACCCGCGCUGGAUUCGGGUAGGUUGCUUGAGGUAUGCAGUGAUGCAUAUCCCAGAUGAAUGAUUGUCCACGACAGAACCCGGCUUAUCGGCUGACUCAACUA